AGAUGAUUUAUAGACUUCCCUUUGCAAAACGCCGCAGGGCGUUUUGCAAACAAAAGAAGACGAAGGCAAAAAAGCAACAACCCCCAAACAGGGAGAAAUCCAGGCAACUGCCAAUUACUCCCCAAAUCCUGGGAAGUCUGGAUUGUUAAGGGUGCUUUUAGGAGUUAUUAAGAGAUCCCCCUCACAAAGCUAUUGGUAUAAGGAAAAAACCUGCUCCUUUUCCCUUAUGGGGUACCCAAGAGCCCAUAUAGAGUCCUUAACUAGGUUCUCUAUCGUAGGAGAAAAUAACAGAGGCCAAGCAGAGAAUAUUGAGAAGCAAAGCGGCUAGUAAGCCUGGUCAUUAUUGAACUGUUGCAACAGGGUCCUCACUCCCCACACGCAGGAGGGAGGAGGAACCCAGAACAUUGGUGCUCAAGCCCUUAUAUAAAGGUAAAGGUAAAGGGACCCCUGACCAUUAGGUCCAG